GACGUCCGGUGGGGAAUUAUCCGAGGAGCCCUAACUUGUAUAAAAGCAGAGUCCAUUUAAAGUUGGGCUGGAUAGCCUCUCUCUCAUUGGUUAGGGGGCUUGGAAAAAAGAGACUCGGCGAGCCCUCGCUGUGGUGCUGCCGCCGCCGCCGCCGCCGCCGCCGCUGGAGUUGACUCUUCUGCUCGCACUGCUGCUGCAGCACAAACGUGACUUCCAACAUUUUUUAUUUAUCUUUCCCUUUUCUUUUCCAAGAUGUAACUACAGCUCAGACACUAAGGACCUUCACGUUUCGCUGAUGUAGUUUUUGGAGGAAAAAGGGGGGGGAGUGAAGGGCGUCGGUUUUUUUUUGUGUGUGUGUGUUUCGGGGGAAAUUUUCCAUUAUGAGUGUUUUACUAAAGUGAAUUUUUUUUUUGUUUGCUUCGUCUUUGGCUUUUUUUUUUUUCCCUUCCCAAUUUCGGAUUUAUUUCAAGGCGAAUCAGGCUUUGGGGAAAGAGGAAGAAAAGUCGGAUUACAAGAUCAGCCACCACCAACAACAAUAAAAACCACCAAGAUAUUUUUUUGCAAAUUUCUGACGGCUUUAAAUUCAUGAAGCAAUUGUCCCCUUUUGCAAUCAGCAUUUGGAUCUCAGAAUGAGCAAGGAAAGACCCAAGAGGAAUAUCAUCCAGAAGAAAUACGACAGCUCAAUUUGGACAAGUCAUUGCUUCGUGUGACUGAACAUAUGAAGCUGUCCUACUGAACAGUCCAGAUCUGUGUAACCAGAGCUGUAUUUCACGUAGCAUGGUGUCUGCGUUGGUGAAAAACAUCAAGUCCUACAAAAUCGAACAGUAAAAAUUACAGGGUUAAUGGAAAAAUAAGGAUGAAACAUGUCACUCAAAACAUAGGCAACUUUGGUAAAACGAACCAUAAUGAGUUAGUAAUCUGGAUCUGGAAAAAUGACAUGAAGUGCUCAGGAUCGUAGCAACAGCUCUUGUACUAACCACCUUCCACCUACCUAGCCUACCCAGUUCUGGCUGAAGGACAUCCUGGCUGUGACAUCCCUGCAUGAAGCUCCCUGCCAAUGGGCAGGCCCGGGGAGUGUGUGCCUCUGUCCCCUUUGGCGCUUACCCAUAUAGAAGGCUUGCCAGGUGCCAGUUGUUUGUUCCCAAAUCUGGUUAUUCCAGUUAGACCUACUGCAAUUUCAGUUAAAUAUUAUAUAAACCUUUGAACGAGUGUGACAAAAGAGUUGGUUUCUAUGAAAACUUGAAGCUGAAUGGGAACCCUUGAUAAAAGUGAAUUACUGUAAAAACGAGAUUGUUAAAUUAGAUGUGGGCCUACUAUUUAAAAGACUUGGGAGAAAUCUGUAAGAUUUCGCACCCAUUCUGCUUUGCAGGUGGUUCCAUUUUAAGAACCAAGCUUCAUUUAUGGCUGAACUCCCUUCCCAACAAACAAAAAAGCUUGACAUGGAGUACCACGAAUUCUCAAAAUUAUCUGUAACAAGAACUUCCCUGGUGGUCCAGCGGUUAAGAAUCCCUCUUCUAAUGCAGAGGACACUGGUUCGAUCCCUGUUUUGGGAACUAAGAUCCGGCAUGCCUCGAGGCAGCUAAGUUGGGACACCACAGUAGAAGCCUCUGUGAUGCAGCUGAGACCU